GUGAAGAACGCAGCGAAAUGCGAUAAGUAAUGCGAAUUGCAGAAUUCAGUGAAUCAUCGAAUCUUUGAACGCACAUUGCGCCCGCCAGUAUUCUGGCGGGCAUGCCUGUCUGAGCGUCGUUUCGACCCUCGCGCCCGGCUUCUGUCGGGGGCGGUGUUGGGGAUCGGCCACACCCUUCAGUGGGAGGCCGGCCCCUAAAUUCAGUGGCGACCACGCUGUAGCCUCCCCUGCGUAGUACUAAAACCACCUCGCAGGCGGAGAGCGGUGCGGCCCGCCGUAAAACCCCCCAACUUUUACAAGGUCGACCUCAGAUCAGGUAGGAAUACCCGCUGAACUUAAGCAUAUCAAUAAGCGGAGGA
rnacentral:misc_RNA from 1 species